AUGUCAGCCAGUGUAUGUGAACCAAGCUGCUGCUGGACACUGGUCCUGCUGGACACCAGGCAGAGUGCAGCAUGGCCCCCUCUCACCCACCUCCGAGAUCACCUAUAUCUGCCUUCAGGGUCACUCUGGGACACUCUGAAGUCUUACGGCCUCGGAGACUGUUUCCUCGUACAGAGGUUGAGGCUCAGUUCCUGUGUGACCCAGCACGCAACAAGAAAGGAUUUGGAACAACCUAUGCAGUGGACAUGCUUCAGUGAAAAAGACCAGAAAUUUCUUCUAGAAUUUUAAUACAGUCGUAACAGUUAUAGGAAAGACACCUGCAGACAAAACAGUAUAUUUGUGGAGGAUUUAGUGGAAAAUGACUUGUUUUUUCUAGACUGGAAGCAUGUCAGUACUGUCUCUGUUGCUGAUGCAUUGUUUGAAGAGAGACAGUUCAACAAGCCAGUCCUUGUAAGCACUGACAGACCUUGUUGUAGGUAACUAUGGAGUUUCAGGGUGCUAUUUGUUGGUCAGUCACUCUUGUAAUCUGCCAGUUAUACUUAAUCAAAAUGUAGCUGAAGAGGCAAAAGUGGAAAACCUCUCAUUUUUAAUAUGUCUCGUAUAAUAAUUUCAAGGAGCCAGAGGAUAAGCAUUCAAUCUAAAGAUAGCACAUUCAUUAUUACUUAUUAGAUGUAAAAGCUUGUGCUAUAUGUUUAACAACUGUCUUUGUAUGUGGAGUUAUGGAAACCAAAUUGUAAAUGUUCACAUUGAGUUACUGUAAGAGUCUGCUGCUCGGAUUGUUCCAUUUCUGGAAUGAAAGACCAGGAACUUUUUCUUGGUUGGAGUAGAGUCAAAAUGCUUUUACUAAAUGCAUGUAACAAUUCUUAUCCUCAUCUCUACAGGAUUAUUUAUACUUUUUUUGGGUGCAAGCUUUUUUUGGUUUCGAUCUUUUUGCAUUAAGCACAUCUGCAC
rnacentral:lncRNA from 1 species